rnacentral:misc_RNA from 1 species
GAGUUCACCUCAAUCUCUCUUUGUUUAUUUUUUCAUUUUUAGAAUUUUUCGUAACUGCGAUGGAAAAUCAGUUUUGGAACCUGGGAUUUUUUCGUUUUUGUUGAUUUUCUGUUUGGAUUCUAUCUAUCAGUCCGUUGACGCGGUGAUCUAUUAUGUUAUCAGGAAACUUAUGCUUUUUUCUUCUUCUUUGAUUAUAUGUGCGAUCUUAUCAUUCUGGAUUGCUUUUUUGCUUCUGAUUAUUCUGCUUGGAUGUGCAGGUAUUUUAGCUUUCUAUUACUUGGAAUUAAUUUAUGGCUUCAACAGUUCUUAAUGCGCCGAAUAGCGUUCGAAGAACCAAUGGUUUGGAUUGCGGCUCCUAUGUUGGGUUAAUACGUUCGCCAAAUUCAAAUUUCCUCUGCGUUAGGACCUCGACCAAUGUGCGAUCUCCGCGCCUUUUUGUUGUGAGAGCUUCCGAUGAGCGUGAUGCACAUAUGAAGAAGCUCGGAAGGAGUGAU